AACGAACGCUGGCGGCAUGCCUAACACAUGCAAGUCGAACGAAGGCUUCGGCCUUAGUGGCGCACGGGUUCGUAACGCGUGGGAAUCUGCCCUUGUGUUCGGAAUACCAGCUGGAAACGGCUGCUAUUGCGGAAGGGGAACUAAAGCCCAAAGAUUUAUUGCCAGAGGUUGAGCCCGAGUUGGAUUCGGUGGUUGGGAGGGUAAUGGCAUCCCACGCGCUCGAUCCUUAGCUGGUUAGAGAGAAUGGUCAGCCACACUGGGACUCAGACACGGCCCAGAAUCCUACGGGAGGGAGCAGAGGGGAAUAUAGGACAAUGGGCGCAAGCCUGAUCGAGCACUGCCGGGUGAGUGAUGAUGGCAGUAGGGAUGAAAAGCUCUAUUAACCGGGAAGAUAAUGACGGUACCGGGAGAAUAAGCCCCGGCUAACUACGUG
rnacentral:rRNA from 1 species